rnacentral:rRNA from 1 species
UUGAUGGAGAGUUUGAUCCUGGCUCAGGACGAACGCUGGCGGCGGGCCUAACACAUGCAAGUCGAACGCACUCGACCUUCGGGUCAUAUGAGUGAGUGGCGAACGGGUGAGUAACACGUGAGAAACCUGCCCCGAAGACUGGAAUAACCCGAGGAAACUCGGGCUAAUACCGGAUGCCCCCAACUGAUCGCAUGAUCAGUUGAGGAAAUGCUCCGGCGCUUCGGGAGGGUCUCGCGGCCUAUCAGCUAGUUGGUGAGGUAACGGCUCACCAAGGCAACGACGGGUAGCUGGUCUGAGAGGACGAUCAGCCACACUGGGACUGAGACACGGCCCAGACUCCUACGGGAGGCAGCAGUGGGGAAUCUUGCGCAAUGGACGAAAGUCUGACGCAGCCACGCCGCGUGAGGGAUGAAGGCUUUCGGGUCGUAAACCUCUUUCAGCAGGGAAGAAAAUGACGGUACCUGCAGAAGAAGCUCCGGCCAACUACGUGCCAGCAGCCGCGGUAACACGUAGGGAGCAAGCGUUGUCCGGAUUUAUUGGGCGUAAAGAGCUCGUAGGCUGUUCAGUAAGUCAGGUGUGAAAACUCGAGGCUCAACCUCGAGACGCCACUUGAUACUGCUGUGACUAGAGUCCGGUAGAGGAGUGUGGAAUUCCUGGUGUAGCGGUGAAAUGCGCAGAUAUCAGGAGGAACACCAGCAGCGAAGGCGGCACUCUGGGCCGGUACUGACGCUGAGGAGCGAAAGCAUGGGGAGCGAACAGGAUUAGAUACCCUGGUAGUCCAUGCCGUAAACGUUGGGCACUAGAUGUGGGAUCUC